GAACGCUGGCGGCGUGCUUAACACCUGCAAGUCGAACGGAAAGGCCCUGCUUUUGUGGGGUGCUCGAGUGGCGAACGGGUGAGUAACACGUGAGUAACCUGCCCUUGACUUUGGGAUAACUUCAGGAAACUGGGGCUAAUACCGGAUAGGAGCUCCUGCUGCAUGGUGGGGGUUGGAAAGUUUCGGCGGUUGGGGAUGGACUCGCGGCUUAUCAGCUUGUUGGUGGGGUAGUGGCUUACCAAGGCUUUGACGGGUAGCCGGCCUGAGAGGGUGACCGGCCACAUUGGGACUGAGAUACGGCCCAGACUCCUACGGGAGGCAGCAGUGGGGAAUAUUGCACAAUGGGCGGAAGCCUGAUGCAGCAACGCCGCGUGCGGGAUGACGGCCUUCGGGUUGUAAACCGCUUUCGCCUGUGACGAAGCGUGAGUGACGGUAAUGGGUAAAGAAGCACCGGCUAACUACGUG
rnacentral:rRNA from 1 species